AGCCGCUGACAAUGGGCAAAGAGACACCUUGUUGGUGGUGUUAUUGUUCUUAUAUCAGUCAGGGGAAGAACAGUCCUUUCUUCAUCCUAGCUUGAUGCCUGGCAUGAUGGUCAAAGCUGUCUUAUGCCAAAGACUCAUAA